UUGUCCAGGCCUGACGUCACUAGCAGACGAUACGGCGCGCACGGAAGGCGACGAAAACAAAUUGGCGUGGUUUCUAUGCUGUGUGGCAAUCGGUGGCAACUUGCCAAACGCAACUAUGUGGUGUUAGUCUGGUGUCGUUGUGCGUCUUUUAGGUAUUUAAAGUUGUGAAUAACACUUUACAAUAAUAAAUAUGGGACGUUGUUGCUACAUGGGCUGUCAGCACCGGUCCGGCGAGGCAACAAAAGCCUCGGGCGUAACAUUUCACUGUUUCCCACGAGAUCCUACGCUUCGAGAAGCUUGGGUUGAGGCCAUUGGGAGAACUGGAUGGACACCCAGCAAACACAGUGUAGUGUGCUCCAAGCACUUUCAGAACCGUGACAUGGACAGGACAUCGUUAGCACGGAUUCGAUUAAGACCUGGUGCGGUGCCCAUCGCUCAUCCUUCUGUGUCUGCUCCUGAGCUGCAGGUAGCACAGCUUUCAACAGCACCUGAGGCAGCACGUGAAGCAGAGCAUGAA